CCGAGUUAGCAAACUCCAUCAACCCUCGUGAAUCAUACCGAUACGGUUGCCUCGGGCUGGCGGUCGGAAGGCAUCGGGCCCCGGAUACACGGGUCCCGCUCGGGAGGCUGCCCGCCGGAGGACCGAACCUAAACUCUGAUAUUCUAUAUGUUUCUUCUGAGUACACUAAAUAAGUCA
rnacentral:misc_RNA from 1 species